AUGCCUUAAACUGAUGAGUAAGGAACACAACAAUUCGGGGUGAUGCCCGGAUCCUCACUGCUAAUGUGAGACAAAUUUUUGAGCGGGUAAUGGUUGCCCCUAAGGUGACCUACCUACUUUGCAGGAUGCCUGGGUGCUGCAAUCUG
ensembl:snRNA U12 U12 minor spliceosomal RNA